GAUGAACGCUGGCGGCGCGCCUAACACAUGCAAGUCGAACGGUUAAAGCACCUUUUAGGUGUGUAUAAAGUGGCGAACGGCUGAGUAACACGUGGGCAACCUGCCCUCCUCUUGGGGAUAGCCUCGGGAAACCGAGGAUAAUACCCGAUACUUCAAUGUGGCCGCAUGACGACAUUGAGAAAGCUUUUGCGGAGAAGGAUGGGCCCGCGGCCUGUUAGCUUGUUGGUGGGGUAGAGGCCUACCAAGGCAAUGAUGGGUAGCUGGGUUGAGAGACCGACCAGCCAGAUUGGGACUGAGACACGGCCCAGACUCCUACGGGAGGCAGCAGUGGGGAAUCUUGCACAAUGGGCGAAAGCCUGAUGCAGCGACGCCGCGUGCGGGACGAAGGCCUUUCGGGUUGUAAACCGCUUUUCAGCAGGGACGAGGCGAAAGUGACGGUACCUGCAGAAGA
rnacentral:rRNA from 2 species